rnacentral:lncRNA from 1 species
UUGCAUCAUUUUUCGUUCCGGAACCGAAUGCUCAAAAACACUCCCAAACAUGUUUUAGGGUAUAAUUAGGAAGAUUGCAUGCGUUCGUUGCGAAAAAAUCCACCCGAGUUUCGCUACCCGGCAAUAUGCAUUCGGGUGCCGAAAUGCACCCGUUUUGCAUCAUUUUUCGUUCCGGAACCGAAUGCUCAAAAACACUCCCAAACAUGUUCUAGGGUAUAAUUAUGAAGAUUGCAUGCGUUCGUUGCGAAAAAAUCAACCCGAGUUUCGCUACCCGUAAAUAGUGCAUUCGGCUACCGAAAUGCACCCGUUUUGCAUCGUUUUUCGUUCCGGAACCGAAUGCUCAAAAACACUCCCAAACAUGUUUUAGGGUAUAAUUACGAAGAUUGCAUGCGUUCGUUGCGAAAAAAUCCACCCGAGUUUCGCUACCCGGCAAUAUGCAUUCGGGUGCCGAAAUGCACCCGUUUUGCAUCAUUUUUCAUUCCGGAACCGAAUGCUCAAAAACACUCCCAAACAUGUUCUAGGGUAUAAUUAUGAAGAUUGCAUGCGUUCGUUGCGAAAAAAUCAACCCGAGUUUCGCUACCCGUAAAUAGUGCAUUCGGCUACCGAAAUGCACCCGUUUUGCAUCGUUUUUCGUUCCGGAACCGAAUGCUCAAAAACACUCCCAAACAUGUUUUAGGGUAUAAUUACGAAGAUUGCAUGCGUUCGUUGCGAAAAAAUCCACCCGAGUUUCGCUACCCGGCAAUAUGCAUUCGGGUGCCGAAAUGCACCCGUAUUGCAUCAUUUUUCGUUCCGGAACCGAAUGCUCAAAAGCACUCCCAAACAUGUUCUAGGGUAUAAUUAUGAAGAUUGCAUGCGUUCGUUGCGAAAAAAUCAACCCGAGUUUCGCUACCCGUAAAUAGUGCAUUCGGCUACCGAAAUGCACCCGUUUUGCAUCGUUUUUCGUGCUGUAACCGAAUGCUCAGAAACACUCCCAAACAUGUUCUAGGGUCUAAUUAGAAAGAUUGCACGCGUUCGUUGCGAAAAAAUCCACCCGAGUUUCGCUACCCGGCAAUAUGCAAUCGGGUGCCGAAAUGCACCCGUUUUGCAUCAUUUUUCGUUCCGGAACCGAAUGCUCAAAAACACUCCCAAACAUAUUCUAGGGUAUAAUUAUGAAGAUUGCAUGCGUUCGUUGCGAAAAAAUCCACCCGAGUUUCGCUACCCGGCAAUAUGCAUUCGGGUACCGAAAUGCACCCGUAUUGCAUCAUUUUUCGUUCCGGAACCGAAUGCUCAAAAACACUCCCAAACAUGUUCUAGGGUAUAAUUAUGAAGAUUGCAUGCGUUCGUUGCGAAAAAAUCCACCCGAGUUUCGCUACACGGAAAAAGUGCAUUCGGGUGCCGAAAUGCACCCGUUUUGCAUCAUUUUUCGUUCCGGAACCGAAUGCUCAAAAACACUCCCAAACAUGUUUUAGGGUAUAAUUAGGAAGAUUGCAUGCGUUCGUUGCGAAAAAAUCCACUCGAGUUUCGCUACCCGGCAAUAUGCAAUCGGGUGCCGAAAUGCACCCGUUUUGCAUCAUUUUUCGUUCCGGAACCGAAUGCUCAAAAACACUCCCAAACAUGUUCUAGGGUAUAAUUAGGAAGAUUGCAUGCGUUCGUUGCGAAAAAAUCCACCCGAGUUUCGCUACCCGGCAAUAUGCAAUCGGGUGCCGAAAUGCACCCGUUUUGCAUCAUUUUUCGUUCCGGAACCGAAUGCUCAAAAACACUCCCAAACAUGUUCUAGGGUAUAAUUAUGAAGAUUGCAUGCGUUCGUUGCGAAAAAAUCCACCCGAGUUUCGCUACCCGGCAAUAUGCAUUCGGGUACCGAAAUGCACCCGUAUUGCAUCAUUUUUCGUUCCGGAACCGAAUGCUCAAAAACACUACCAAACAUGUUCUAGGGUAUAAUUAUGAAGAUUGCAUGCGUUCGUUGCGAAAAAAUCUAAUCGAGUUUCGCUACACGGAAAAAGUGCAUUCGGGUGCCGAAAUGCACCCGUUUUGCAUCAUUUUUCAUUCCGGAACCGAAUGCUCAAAAACACUCCCAAACAUGUUCUAGGGUAUAAUUAUGAAGAUUGCAUGCGUUCGUUGCGAAAAAAUCCACCCGAGUUUCGCUACACGGAAAAAGUGCAUUCGGGUGCCGAAAUGCACCCGUUUUGCAUCAUUUUUCGUUCCGGAACCGAAUGCUCAAAAACACUCCCAAACAUGUUUUAGGGUAUAAUUAGGAAGAUUGCAUGCGUUCGUUGCGAAAAAAUCCACUCGAGUUUCGCUACCCGGCAAUAUGCAUUCGGGUGCCGAAAUGCACCCGUUUUGCAUCAUUUUUCAUUCCGGAACCGAAUGCUCAAAAACACUCCCAAACAUGUUCUAGGGUAUAAUUAUGAAGAUUGCAUGCGUUCGUUGCGAAAAAAUCCACCCGAGUUUCGCUACCCGGCAAUAUGCAUUCGGGUACCGAAAUGCACCCGUAUUGCAUCAUUUUUCGUUCCGGAACCGAAUGCUCAAAAACACUACCAAACAUGUUCUAGGGUAUAAUUAUGAAGAUUGCAUGCGUUCGUUGCGAAAAAAUCAACCCGAGUUUCGCUACCCGUAAAUAGUGCAUUCGGCUACCGAAAUGCACCCGUUUUGCAUCGUUUUUCGUUCCGGAACCGAAUGCUCAAAAACACUCCCAAACAUGUUUUAGGGUAUAAUUACGAAGAUUGCAUGCGUUCGUUGCGAAAAAAUCCACCCGAGUUUCGCUACCCGGCAAUAUGCAUUCGGGUGCCGAAAUGCACCCGUUUUGCAUCAUUUUUCAUUCCGGAACCGAAUGCUCAAAAACACUCCCAAACAUGUUCUAGGGUAUAAUUAUGAAGAUUGCAUGCGUUCGUUGCGAAAAAAUCAACCCGAGUUUCGCUACCCGUAAAUAGUGCAUUCGGCUACCGAAAUGCACCCGUUUUGCAUCGUUUUUCGUUCCGGAACCGAAUGCUCAAAAACACUCCCAAACAUGUUUUAGGGUAUAAUUACGAAGAUUGCAUGCGUUCGUUGCGAAAAAAUCCACCCGAGUUUCGCUACCCGGCAAUAUGCAUUCGGGUGCCGAAAUGCACCCGUAUUGCAUCAUUUUUCGUUCCGGAACCGAAUGCUCAAAAGCACUCCCAAACAUGUUCUAGGGUAUAAUUAUGAAGAUUGCAUGCGUUCGUUGCGAAAAAAUCAACCCGAGUUUCGCUACCCGUAAAUAGUGCAUUCGGCUACCGAAAUGCACCCGUUUUGCAUCGUUUUUCGUGCUGUAACCGAAUGCUCAGAAACACUCCCAAACAUGUUCUAGGGUCUAAUUAGAAAGAUUGCACGCGUUCGUUGCGAAAAAAUCCACCCGAGUUUCGCUACCCGGCAAUAUGCAAUCGGGUGCCGAAAUGCACCCGUUUUGCAUCAUUUUUCGUUCCGGAACCGAAUGCUCAAAAACACUCCCAAACAUAUUCUAGGGUAUAAUUAUGAAGAUUGCAUGCGUUCGUUGCGAAAAAAUCCACCCGAGUUUCGCUACCCGGCAAUAUGCAUUCGGGUACCGAAAUGCACCCGUAUUGCAUCAUUUUUCGUUCCGGAACCGAAUGCUCAAAAACACUCCCAAACAUGUUCUAGGGUAUAAUUAUGAAGAUUGCAUGCGUUCGUUGCGAAAAAAUCCACCCGAGUUUCGCUACACGGAAAAAGUGCAUUCGGGUGCCGAAAUGCACCCGUUUUGCAUCAUUUUUCGUUCCGGAACCGAAUGCUCAAAAACACUCCCAAACAUGUUUUAGGGUAUAAUUAGGAAGAUUGCAUGCGUUCGUUGCGAAAAAAUCCACUCGAGUUUCGCUACCCGGCAAUAUGCAAUCGGGUGCCGAAAUGCACCCGUUUUGCAUCAUUUUUCGUUCCGGAACCGAAUGCUCAAAAACACUCCCAAACAUGUUCUAGGGUAUAAUUAGGAAGAUUGCAUGCGUUCGUUGCGAAAAAAUCCACCCGAGUUUCGCUACCCGGCAAUAUGCAAUCGGGUGCCGAAAUGCACCCGUUUUGCAUCAUUUUUCGUUCCGGAACCGAAUGCUCAAAAACACUCCCAAACAUGUUCUAGGGUAUAAUUAUGAAGAUUGCAUGCGUUCGUUGCGAAAAAAUCCACCCGAGUUUCGCUACCCGGCAAUAUGCAUUCGGGUACCGAAAUGCACCCGUAUUGCAUCAUUUUUCGUUCCGGAACCGAAUGCUCAAAAACACUACCAAACAUGUUCUAGGGUAUAAUUAUGAAGAUUGCAUGCGUUCGUUGCGAAAAAAUCUAAUCGAGUUUCGCUACACGGAAAAAGUGCAUUCGGGUGCCGAAAUGCACCCGUUUUGCAUCAUUUUUCAUUCCGGAACCGAAUGCUCAAAAACACUCCCAAACAUGUUCUAGGGUAUAAUUAUGAAGAUUGCAUGCGUUCGUUGCGAAAAAAUCCACCCGAGUUUCGCUACACGGAAAAAGUGCAUUCGGGUGCCGAAAUGCACCCGUUUUGCAUCAUUUUUCGUUCCGGAACCGAAUGCUCAAAAACACUCCCAAACAUGUUUUAGGGUAUAAUUAGGAAGAUUGCAUGCGUUCGUUGCGAAAAAAUCCACUCGAGUUUCGCUACCCGGCAAUAUGCAUUCGGGUGCCGAAAUGCACCCGUUUUGCAUCAUUUUUCAUUCCGGAACCGAAUGCUCAAAAACACUCCCAAACAUGUUCUAGGGUAUAAUUAUGAAGAUUGCAUGCGUUCGUUGCGAAAAAAUCCACCCGAGUUUCGCUACCCGGCAAUAUGCAUUCGGGUACCGAAAUGCACCCGUAUUGCAUCAUUUUUCGUUCCGGAACCGAAUGCUCAAAAACACUACCAAACAUGUUCUAGGGUAUAAUUAUGAAGAUUGCAUGCGUUCGUUGCGAAAAAAUCCAAUCGAGUUUCGCUACACGGAAAAAGUGCAUUCGGGUGCCGAAAUGCACCCGUUUUGCAUCAUUUUUCGUUCCGGAACCGAAUGCUCAAAAACACUCCCAAACAUGUUCUAGGGUAUAAUUAUGAAGAUUGCAUGCGUUCGUUGCGAAAAAAUCCACCCGAGUUUCGCUACCCGGUAAUAUGCAUUCGGGUACCGAAAUGCACCCGUAUUGCAUCAUUUUUCGUUCCGGAACCGAAUGCUCAAAAACACUACCAAACAUGUUCUAGGGUAUAAUUAUGAAGAUUGCAUGCGUUCGUUGCGAAAAAAUCCAAUCGAGUUUCGCUACACGGAAAAAGUGCAUUCGGGUGCCGAAAUGCACCCGUUUUGCAUCAUUUUUCGUUCUGGAACCGAAUGCUCAAAAACACUCCCAAACAUGUUCUAGGGUAUAAUUAUGAAGAUUGCAUGUGUUCGUUGCGAAAAAAUCCACCCGAGUUUCGCUACCCGGCAAUAUGCAUUCGGGUACCGAAAUGCAACCGUAUUGCAUCAUUUUUCGUUCCGGAACCGAAUGCUCAAAAACACUCCCAAACAUGUUCUAGGGUAUAAUUAUGAAGAUUGCAUGCGUUCGUUGCGAAAAAAUCCAAUCGAGUUUCGCUACACGGAAAAAGUGCAUUCGGGUGCCGAAAUGCACCCGUUUUGCAUCAUUUUUCGUUCCGGAACCGAAUGCUCAAAAACACUCCCAAACAUGUUUUAGGGUAUAAUUAGGAAGAUUGCAUGCGUUCGUUGCGAAAAAAUCCACCCGAGUUUCGCUACCCGGCAAUAUGCAUUCGGGUGCCGAAAUGCACCCGUUUUGCAUCAUUUUUCAUUCCGGAACCGAAUGCUCAAAAACACUCCCAAACAUGUUCUAGGGUAUAAUUAUGAAGAUUGCAUGCGUUCGUUGCGAAAAAAUCCACCCGAGUUUCGCUACCCGGCAAUAUGCAUUCGGGUACCGAAAUGCACCCGUAUUGCAUCAUUUUUCGUUCCGGAACCGAAUGCUCAAAAACACUCCCAAACAUGUUCUAGGGUAUAAUUAGGAAUAUUGCAUGCGUUCGUUGCGAAAAAAUCCACCUGAGUUUCGCUACCCGGAAAUAGUGCAUUCGGGUGCCGAAAUGCACCCGUUUUGCAUCAUUUUUCGUUCCGGAACCGAAUGCUCAAAAACACUCCCAAACAUGUUUUAGGGUAUAAUUAGGAAGAUUGCAUGCGUUCGUUGCGAAAAAAUCCACCCGAGUUUCGCUACCCGGCAAUAUGCAAUCGGGUGCCGAAAUGCACCCGUUUUGCAUCAUUUUUCGUUCCGGAACCGAAUGCUCAAAAACACUCCCAAACAUGUUCUAGGGUAUAAUUAUGAAGAUUGCAUGCGUUCGUUGCGAAAAAAUCCAAUCGAGUUUCGCUACACGGAAAAAGUGCAUUCGGGUGCCGAAAUGCACCCGUUUUGCAUCAUUUUUCGUUCCGGAACCGAAUGCUCAAAAACACUCCCAAACAUGUUUUAGGGUAUAAUUAGGAAGAUUGCAUGCGUUCGUUGCGAAAAAAUCCACCCGAGUUUCGCUACCCGGCAAUAUGCAAUCGGGUGCCGAAAUGCACCCGUUUUGCAUCAUUUUUCGUUCCGGAACCGAAUGCUCAAAAACACUCCCAAACAUGUUCUAGGGUAUAAUUAUGAAGAUUGCAUGCGUUCGUUGCGAAAAAAUCCAAUCGAGUUUCGCUACACGGAAAAAGUGCAUUCGGGUGCCGAAAUGCACCCGUUUUGCAUCAUUUUUCGUUCCGGAACCGAAUGCUCAAAAAGACUCCCAAACAUGUUUUAGGGUAUAAUUAGGAAGAUUGCAUGCGUUCGUUGCGAAAAAAUCCACCCGAGUUUCGCUACCCGGCAAUAUGCAAUCGGGUGCCGAAAUGCACCCGUUUUGCAUCAUUUUUCGUUCCGGAACCGAAUGCUCAAAAACACUCCCAAACAUGUUCUAGGGUAUAAUUAUGAAGAUUGCAUGCGUUCGUUGCGAAAAAAUCCACCCGAGUUUCGCUACCCGGCAAUAUGCAUUCGGGUACCGAAAUGCACCCGUAUUGCAUCAUUUUUCGUUCCGGAACCGAAUGCUCAAAAACACUCCCAAACAUGUUCUAGGGUAUAAUUAGGAAGAUUGCAUGCGUUCGUUGCGAAAAAAUCCACCCGAGUUUCGCUUCCCGGCAAUAUGCAUUCGGGUGCCGAAAUGCACCCGUUUUGCAUCAUUUUUCGUUCCGGAACCGAAUGCUCAAAAACACUCCCAAACAUGUUCUAGGGUAUAAUUAGGAAGAUUGCAUGCGUUCGUUGCGAAAAUAUCCACCCGAGUUUCGCUACCCGGCAAUAUGCAUUCGGGUGCCGAAAUGUACCCGUUUUGCAUCAUUUUUCGUUACGGAACCGAAUGCUCAAAAACACUCCCAAACAUGUUCUAGGGUAUAAUUAUGAAGAUUGCAUGCGUUCGUUGCGAAAAAAUUCACCCGAGUUUCGCUACCCGGAAAUAGUGCAUUCGGGUGCCGAAAUGCACCCGUUUUGCAUCGUUUUUCGUGCCGGAACCGAAUGCUCAAAAACACUCCCAAACAUGUUCUAAGGUCUAGUUAGGAAGAUUAGAUGCGUUCGUUGCGAAAAAAUCCACCCGAGUUUCGCUACGCGGAAAUAGGGCAUUCGGGUGCCGAAAUGCACCCGUUUUGCAUCAUUUUUCGUGCCGGAACCGAAUGCUCAAAUACACUCCCAAACAUGUUCUGGUGUAUACUUAGGAAGAUUGGAUGCGUUCGUUCCGAGAAAAUCCACCCGAGUUUCGCUACCCGGAAAUAGUGCAUUCGGGUGCCGAAAUGCACCCAUUUUGCAUCGUUUUUCGUGCCAGAUCGAAUGCUCAAAAACAUUCCCAAACAUGUUCUAGUGUAUAGUUAGGAAGAUUGCAUGCGUUCGUUGCGAGAAAAUCCACCCGAGUUUCGCUACCCGGAAAUAGUGCAUUCGGGUGCCGAAAUGCACCCGUUUUGCAUCAUUUUUCGUUCCGGAACCGAAUGCUCAAAAACACUACCAAACAUGUUCUAGGGUAUAAUUAUGAAGAUUGCAUGCGUUCGUUGCGAAAAAAUCCAAUCGAGUUUCGCUACACGGAAAAAGUGCAUUCGGGUGCCGAAAUGCACCCGUUUUGCAUCAUUUUUCGUUCCGGAACCGAAUGCUCAAAAACACUCCCAAACAUGUUCUAGGGUAUAAUUAUGAAGAUUGCAUGCGUUCGUUGCGAAAAAAUCCACCCGAGUUUCGCUACACGGAAAAAGUGC